CAGUCUGACCUUGGCUGUACCCAUGGAUGGGACGUCCACCACCACAGCACUCAGCUCUCCAGGAGCAGGCUGACACACGGACCUGGAGGAGAAGGGCAAGUUGUCGUGGCCGGCGCUGGCGCAGCAGUAGAAGCCCUGCAGGGUUUUCACCACCCGUCCUCUCGCUGGGCUGAUGUUUGAUUGCAUCCCACAGCAGCAGACUGGAGGUGAGUCCAAGGUCCCUCCCCAGACCCACAGCCCCCCCGGGCACCAUUCCUGGCAGAUGGAGCCAAGGGUGCUCAGAGCCACACAUGCCCUUAUGUGAGCACCCGGCUCCAGCAAGGUGACCGCCUCCUCCCUGGGGUCUUCUCCUCUGCUUCAGAGUAAAAUAAUUCUAUGAAGCAGGUUCCAUUUUUUCCCCCAUGUACUUUCUUGCUGUAGAAAUUUGUAAAGACCCACAAGAAUUUCAGAGGACGGAGAAAGAAAAUUCUCUAUUACUGGGGAAGGGUAAAAGAGAGAUCCAUCAAAGGAUAUCUCGAGCAUUCACUUAAUUUUAUUACUUUAAGCGACUUUAUUACCUUCAUCUUGCUUUCUGUUGCAUUCCAGCACUUAUUUA
rnacentral:lncRNA from 1 species